CAUUACAGAAGGAUAUCGCCCUCGGGCUUCUCUUCUCACCCUUUGUUUACCACACGUAGUUGCCUUGGCGCUCCGCGCCAGUGGAUCGAAACUCCUGAAUCAUUGCCGUCUGAGUACUAUUCAAUCGUUAAAACUUUCAACAACGGAUCUCUUGGUUCUGGCAUCGAUGAAGAACGCAGCGAAAUGCGAUAAGUAAUGUGAAUUGCAGAAUUCAGUGAAUCAUCGAAUCUUUGAACGCACAUUGCGCCCUCCGGUAUUCCGGGGGGCAUGCCUGUUCGAGCGUCAUUACAACCCUCAAGCUCUGCUUGGUGUUGAGCCCGCCCCGGCCUGCCCGGGGCUCGCUUCAAAGUCAGUGGCGGCCGCCGUCCGACCUUCAGCGCAGUAAUGCUCGCCGCUGUUAGGGAAGGGUAGCCAGGGCCGUCAGACAACCCCCACACACAAGGUUGACCUCGGAUCAGGUAGGGAUACCCGCUGAACUUAAGCAUAUCAAUAAGCGGAGGAAAAGAAACCAACAGGGAUUGCCUCAGUAACGGCGAGUGAAGCGGCAACAGCUCAAAUUUGAAAGCUGGCUCCUUCGGGGCCCGCGUUGUAAUUUGUAGAGGAUGCUUCGGGCGCGGCGCCGGUCUAAGUUCUCUGGAACGAGACGUCAUAGAGGGUGAGAAUCCCGUAUGUGACUGGCCGCCUGUGCCCAUGUGAAGCUCCUUCGACGAGUCGAGUUGUUUGGGAAUGCAGCUCAAAAUGGGAGGUGUACUCCUUCUAAAGCUAAAUAUUGGCCGGAGACCGAUAGCGCACAAGUAGAGUGAUCGAAAGAUGAAAAGCACUUUGGAAAGAGAGUUAAACAGUACGUGAAAUUGUUGAAAGGGAAGCGCUUGCAAUCAGACUUGCGCGGCGUCGAUCAGCCUGGGUUCUCCCUGGUGCACUCGGCGCCGCUCAGGCCAGCAUCAGUUUCGGCGGUGGGAUAAAGGCCUAGGGA
rnacentral:rRNA from 1 species